rnacentral:rRNA from 1 species
CACGUAGGGGCUAGCGUUGUCCGGAAUCAUUGGGCGUAAAGCGCGUGUAGGCGGCCCGGUAAGUCCGCUGUGAAAGUCAAGGGCUCAACCCUUGAAUGCCGGUGGAUACUGCAGGGCUAGAGUCCGGAAGAGGCGAGUGGAAUUCCUGGUGUAGGCGGUGAAAUGCGUAGAUAUCAGGAGGAACACCUGCGGUGUAGACGGCUUACUGGACCAUAACUGACGCUGAGGCACGAAGCGUGGUAGCAACAGG